CUGAAUUUGUGGGGGCUGCCAGGUCAUUAAAAUGAUGUUUGUUUGAAUUUGGCAGAGUGAAAAAUUGGACUUAUAUUUACUUUUUUUUUUUUUUGUUCCCAAGGCUGUUCUCACCAUUCACCACUAACAAUACUCUUUUGAUUUUAUGAAGAAGCUUUUACAGAAAAGAAUGAAGUGCAGAAGAGGUUCAUGACAUGUUCUAGGCUUCAUUGGUAUGUGAGGCCUCUAUUCUCCAGUCCCUACAGGUGAAGAAGUGAAGAGGCCCUGGAUUAUACAAACAAAUUAGGAAAGGAACUGUCUUUUCUGAAAUUGCAUGUUAAUUGUACAGAUUGUCAUUGGAUCUCAGAUGGUCAGUAAUUCAUGCAUUUGGGGGACAUCUUCAUUUGGGUCUUAGGGGAAAAAGGACUGGAAUCAGAGUGUUCGAAUUAUAUUCUGGGUCCUGCUCAGUUCAGUUCAGUCGCUCAGUCAUGCCCAACUCUUUGCGACCCCAUGAAUCGCAGCACGCCAGGCAUCCCUGUCCAUCACCAACUCCCAGAAUUCACUCAGACUCACGUCCAUUGAGUCAGUGGUGCCAUCCAGCCAUCUCAUCCUCUGUCGUCCCCUUCUCCUCCUGCCCCCAAUCCCUCUCAGGAUCAGAGUCUUUUCCAAUGAGUCAACUCUUCCCAUGAGGUGGCCAGAGUACUGGAGUUUCAGCUUUAGCAUCAUUCCUUCCAAAGAAAUCCCAGGGCUGAUCUCCUUCAGAAUGGAUUGAUUGGAUCUCCUUGCAGUCCAAGGGACUCUCAAAAGUCUUCUCCAACACCACAGUUCAAAAGCUGCUUGUUAUCAAUGUGAUUUUCAAAGGCUUGUCUUCUCUGUGGGUCCGGGUCUUCUCACCUGUAAGAUGGAAACAAUAAUUGCUACUGCGUCCGUCAGAAAGCACUGCUGAGGUCAUCAAUACCACUCCAAACCUUUUUGUUUUUGUCAUAAAACCUUUUUUUCUUGAGUGAAAUUUAUGUAUUUAAUUCUUGAGCAUUCCCUGCUGGUCUUUAGAGUCUCUUCCAUGUGGUGACUUAGAGAUUAAGAUCUCUUCGUAUUUUCUUUGUCUUCUCACAAAGGGACUCCCAAAGUCACAACAAGGCAAAAAGGGAUAGGGAAGAAUCCCACUGCCCAGUACCUGCCUUGCCUGGGAAGUGACAUUCAUCAUCCGUCCACAGGGGCAAGUCACACCCCUCAUCAAAGGAAGGCUGGGAAAUGCAAGAGGGCGCACAGCGCGCUGUUGGCUGAGUACUUCCUGUCUUUGCUGUGUGUGUCAUGUACGUUCUGUGAUGCUCACAUGAAAUUACAGAUUAAAGUACUUUAUCAAUUUUUCCAUAGUAUUUAUAACAGGAUUAUAUUACUUUGUAUUUCAUUCAGGAUGCGCCGAUUUUAAUGUUUGUUGCCACUUGUACACACUUUUUUCCCCCCAGUUGCCUCUCUUCAAAAUAGAAACAGCAGCCCUGAGGUUUCUUAAAGGCUGGUUGGCAAACGGGUUCUUCCACUCUCUCCCUUUUUGCACCUAAACACUUGGUCACCCAUCACUUAAUUAGAGUAACAGAGUGAAAACACAUUGGAAUGAGUGGAAGAUUUGAAUUUUAGAAGAAAUAUAGAAGACCUGUAGAAAUUUGAACUAACUGCUGACAACCCCGCCAAUUUUGUUUUAAUGGCAAAGAUGCCUCUGUAAUGAGCCGCUGGCACGGCAUGCAAAUCACGCAUGGAGGCCUUCCUUGAGUAGCUUCGAUAGGACCCCUAUCAAUCUUGUUUGUGUUACUGAUUUGCUUAGUGAAGCCACUUCUCAAAAAGAGUACAAAGGCAGGCUUCAAUGCAGCUUGAGCCAAAUUAUUAUAAUUCUGGAAUGAGUGGAAUCUAAAAUAAUGAGGUUUUAUUUUCCUUUGCCCUGGGGGUUUCUAUGUAGUAUUGGAAGAGGAAGAAAUAUUUGUUUUAUUUAAAAGACACACAACUUUCAUUGUGUUCAAAGUGGAGUUAGAAAACAAGUCAAUAAAACAGCCUUUUGGUACAAUGGGACUUGUUCUGGUAUUAAUUUCGCUGUUCAAGGCAUUUAACUCAAAAGAUCUGGGGUUUUUCCCCUUCACUAUUUGGCUCAUUUAAUUUUGAACUCAGGGCUUAUAAACAUAACUGCAAAGUCACUGUCUUUGUUAUGAGGUUUUUUUUGUUGUUGAUUUUCUAAAGCUCUGAGCCAUGGAUUCUAUGUGUGGUGGAUAUAUUCAAAGUCUUUUCUCAGGAAGGGUGACCCACGCACGUGGCCAUAAUCCAGAGAAGCUUCCAUAGACCUGAUGAUAACUCUUGCUCUUGUUUUCUUUCUGCACCACAUCUGUAUAAAACAGUGCACAUGGAACAUGUGUUCUUAGGCUUGGAAUAAAGAAGGGCUAUUGGUUAUCUUCCCGCCUUGGAUCCAUUCCCCCUCUUCGGUGACAUCCUUUCUUCAUUAUAUGCAAUCUUGGUGGGACUUUCAAUUGAGAAAGUCCUGCCCUCCCCUUGCUUGACCAGGAUAGGAGUACAUGACCAAGCUAAGCCAAUCAGAAUUCUCUCUCCUGGGAAUCUGCAUAUUGACUUAAAGGAUGGAAGCCAUUAGAAUGGAUUCUUCUCGAAAGUUGCUUCCUGAAGAGGUUAUCAUUAUUUCCUGCUACCUGAACUCCCAAAGGUCCUCUGAAUCUUUGGUUUCCGGCACUUGGUACUUCAUCAUUUUCUUUAGUUCUGUGUGGUCCCCAAACCUUCCCAGUAGUUUUUUUUUUUAAAUUAUGCUUAGAUUAAUUCUGAUUGGCUUCUAUUGCCUGCAAAAACAAAUUCUGUUCCAGCAUAUAGUUUAUUUGCAUUUGCCACAGAAUCACAGAAUAUCAGUAGGAUGGAACCUUAAACUCGAAAUGCAUUGAAGUGGGAUCUGAAAGGUUGGCCAAGCUCCUUUGUGACAUUAUAAUUUCACUUAUUAAAAGUGGUCAAAAGAAUGUUAUCUGAAGAUGAAAAUAUUUUUCUCUCCUGGAUUGUCCCCUGGUCGUAAGAAUAAAAGUUAAAAGAAUCUCUUCAUUGUAGACUCACAGUCUCACUCACUCACUUGGCAUUGCUUCUUGUGAUUCUCAUAGGCACUUCAGUCACAAAUCAUCUAAAAUCAGAUGCAAUUUCCUCCAAACCUGCUUCCCAGGAAGCCAAACAGAGGAGAGAUCAGGAUAAGAAAUGAGUCCUCAUUUUCUUUCCAUUGCAACUUCUCAAUCUGGUGUCCUUCCUAGAAGGGUGAUAUCUAAUGGAAUAAUUUAGGACUGUAUUUUUUCCAGAAGCUUCUAAACAUUCUUGUCUAUCUACCUAUAUUCUUCAUUAUAAGUACAUUACUAAGUUUGGAAUAUAGAGAAAAAAAACAAUGGCAUCCGAUCCUAGCAUACAAAGAAAACUUCUUUCAACAUUUUGAUCUGGUUCCUUUCCUGUGGAUUUUAAUGCCAUGCGGCUAAUAGAAAAAAAAUGCACUUUUCAUCUUGCUUUUCACGUAGCAUUGUAUAAUAAGCAGUCUCUGUAUGGCAAUAUGGCUUUCAUAACCAUCUUCCAAAGGGGGCUACAUAUUAUUCUAAUAAGUGGCUAUUCUGUAUUCACUCAGCUUUUUCUCCUCUGGACAUUUAGACAUGUCAAAUAAAUAUUGAACACUCAGGUUUUAUACUUGCACUUGCCCUGGUUGAAGAACAAUCCAGACAGCUCCAAAGUUUGCCAUGGUGAGGGAUUUGUAAAAUGUUUUCAGUUCAUUUGGUUCCUUUGCUACUAGAGACAGGUCUGCUCAGAUAUGAUUGCUUAUCACAACAUUACUAUCUGUAGUUACAGAGCAGUGGGAAACUUUUAUAAUUCACAUUUAUUGCUUACCCAUGAAAGUUUGAAAGCACAAUGGACUCUUUUUACUCCUAGGCACUAGUGUUGGUAAAAUGUUCAUAAUUUGUAUUUAAUUUCUACCAUUGAGUUUAUUGGGUUUAAGUUUUGGAUCUCAAUCUCUUUGGAUUUACUUCUGUUCCCUCCCCUAUAUUUCAGCAGUGAGUGAUUAUGUUUGGGUUUCCACUCUUGGAGGGCAAUCCUUGGUCUGAACUGUUUUCAUUUAUUUUAUUUUAAAAUUACAAAGACACUUCCAGUUAUAUUUGGUUUUGCAAUUCAUUCCUCCUCUGUUUCACAAAAACCAUAAAACCCACAUUGUCUGACAAUGCUGUAUUGAGCAAAAUGGAUUCAGUCCUCCUUGGAGAACAGAAAAGGAUGGAGCCAGUAUGUGUUAUAAACAUUUCCAGGGAGAUAGUCUCUUUCCCAGAAUUGGUUUUAGUCAAAGGCUGCUGACCAGUUGUGUGAUUUCAUUUGGGGUUGCUGACCCUGGACCCUACUUGAACUUGACUCUGGAUGUCAUGUAGGCAUCUACCCACAUCAUAUCUGUGUCCUCAAUCUCCAUUCCUGCUGGUUCAGCCCCUGCUGUUAUUUUUUAAGGACCCGAGCCAUGUAAAACCAAGACUUUGGAUUUCUGAAUGAAUGCUUCUAAUGUUAAACUUGGUGGUUUCCUGUCAUAGAAGCAAAGACUCAGUGAAUUCUGAUCGUUCUGCAGUGUGGAGCUUUCUUUUCCGGUUAGAUUAAACAUCCUCAUUCCCUUCGAUUGCAACAUUUGAUCUUCCAUGCUCAGAAUCUGCAAAUUCUGUGAACAGUUUACUUUCAGCAGAUUACAACUGGCCUUUCAUUUUCCAAUCUGAGGAAAACCAAGUGGAAAGUGUGGGUUUGCUGGGGGAUUGUUUUUCCUGUCUGCCCUCAUAUUUAGUUGAGGACUGUGAUAGAUGGAACUCAGAUGGAGGACUUUCUCAUGAAGGCCCUUGCUUCUGGUAGGCACUUGUGUUUCAAAUGCUGUUGGAUGGAAUCCAGGGGUCCAAUCACAGGUAUGAGUACCUGGUCACUGUGGUGGUGCUAGAGGUAAAGAACCCAUCAGCCAAUGCAGGAGACAUAAGAGACCUGGGUUUGAUCUCUGGGUCGGCAAGAUCCCUGGAGGAGGGCACGGCAACCUGCUGCAUGUUCUUUCCUGGAGAAUCCCCAUGGACAGAGGAGCCGGAUAAGCUAUAGUCCAUGGGCAUGCAAAGAGUCAGACACAACUGAAGUGACUUGGCACGCAGGCAUGCAUCAUGUCAAUGGCAGCUGCAGUCUCAAUCCAAGACUUGAAAGAGACUUUUGAGAGGAUCUGAAACUUGCCCCCUCCACAGAGACCACUUCAUGAUCUUCCCUGCUGCCCCCAGCCCUCUUUCCCUUCCCUGAGUGAGGACGGAAGAAGAGGGAGGAAUACCUGGGAGGCGCGUUGCGCAUCCUGCUGGUAUUCUUGGUUGUUGCUGUUGCUGUGCAGUCACUAAGCUGUGUCUGACUCUUUGCGAUAUUCUGUCCAUUCCUGAUGGGACUUGAGGGGACAAGUGUGCAGGCUCUUCUUUUUGGAGCACCUUUGAAAUCUGAGCAUCCCACAGUAGUCUCCCAUACAUUUUGUCUCCCCUCUAGCGCUUACUCACAACCACGCUUGUUAUUUUCACAAAGCCUCUGAUCUCUGCUAGACUAUGAACUAGCUGAGAGUAGAGAGACAAUUGAUCAGCAAAUGCUUGCUAAGUGAAUAAAUAAAAGUCAUUUGUUGGGUUUUCCCAGAGCCUCUCUGCUAAGCAGAGGAGUGGUGACGUCCUAGUUGGACUUGAGGUGGUUCACAGAUACUCCAUGGACCUUCAUUCCAGCAGCAGCCUGUAUUGGUUUCCUGUGGCUGCCAUGACAAAUUACCAUAAACCAGGUGACUUGAAACAACAGAAACUAAUUUUCUCGUACGUCUGGAGGCUGGAAGUUAAAAAUCAAGAUGUUAGUGGGGCCCCUCUCUCUCUGAAAGUUUUAGGCGAGAAUCUUGCUGUGCCUCUUCCGGGUUCUGGUGGUUCAAGUGUUCCUUGGCUUAGAGCUGCCUAGCUUCAGUCUCUGCCUCUGUCUUCACACAGCUUCUCCUCUCCUCGUGUCUUCUCCUUUCCUGUCUCUUAUGAGGACACUUGUCAUUGGAUUUAGGAGCCACCCAUGUAAUCCAGGAGGACAUCAUCUUGAGAUCCUUAACUCAAUUACAUCUACAAAGACGCCUUUCCUCAAUAAGAUUACAUUCGCCAGUUCUGAGGAUAAGGAUGUGGGCAUAAAGCAAUAUAUGGAUAUAAUGUAAUAUAAGAUGUGAUAUCUUCUGUUCGACCUAAUACAGCCCCAAUCUGAGUCAUGCAAAAGGAGAUGACUGUCUCAUGCCCCCUCCCUUCAAUUCCACCCAUGCUUCCCCAUUCUUAAAGAGAAGAUGGAUGCCUUUGAUGUUUCCUCUGCUUUUACUUCCUAGGCGGUGCCACUUGUUUAAACAUGGAGCAUCUUCCUUGAGCAAAAGGACAAAACAUCCACAUUAGUUGGCUGUUUGGAAGAUGUCUUUUUGACGUCAGCACUGGAACUUCCUAAGCACUGAUGAAAGAAUGAAAUCCCUCCCUGUUCCAAGGAUGGUUCUUAUUUGUUCUCUGUCAAGUCAUGGUCCUUUCAGCAGUGAGAUUCUAAGUCCAGCUCAGAGGUAAGGCAGGCAGCUUCUUGAGAGAAGCUAUUACCUUUUGUUUGUUUCUUUCAUCACUUGACUUAGUGGUUUUUGUUUGGCUUCAGUCAAGUCCUGACAGUAUAGAAUCAGCCAUUCAGUGGGUUUUCAAAGGCACAGUUCUCGAAGGAUCCCCUAGAACCACCUGAGGCUGGCUUUAGAAAUAAACAGAGGUGAGUCGACCAUCUCACUUUCACUGAAGCAUCUAGGCCUUAGUCCUUGAAUCUAGGAAGGGAGAGGAUAGAUGUGAUUAGGAUCAGAAAAUAAGAAAUUCCGGCCCCUUUGCUCACCAGGGAGUGACCUCAGAUAUAUUACUUUAACUUCUCUUGUCUUCAGUGUUUCCACCUCACAUUGGUCUAACACUGUCAACCUUUCUCUAGUUCUGAAAAUCCAAUGCUCCUUCUGACUCUCAGACUCAUUUUGAGCUCUAAAAUAAAGUUUCUACAAUUGAUAUCUUUAUCUAAAUCAUUUUUAAAAACUAGUUUGGAAGUUGGAAAUAGAUAAUUGACAAAGUAACCUGUUACUUUUCUGUGUAUUUAGGUCCUCAAAAGCAAGUAUAUAUGCUUUUAUACACACACACACACACACACACACACACACACACACACACACACGAUGUUGGGGCUUCCCUGGUGACUCAGUGGUUAAGAAUCUACCUGCCAAUGCAGGAGAUGCAGGUUCAGUCCCUGGGUCUGAAAGAUCACCUGGAGAAGGAAAUGGCACCCCACUCCAGUAUUCUUGCCUGGGAGAUCCCAUGGACAGAGGAGCCUACAGUCCAUGGAGUUGCAAAAGAGUUGGACAAGACUUAGCAACUAAACAACAACAACAUGUAUGAUGUUACAGAAAAGCCCAAAUGAACGUUUUGGCUAACCCAAUAUAUACAGAUUGCAGCUUAGAGUUCCAAGUUGCUUUAGGAGGGGAAAAUCUUGGCUGUUCUUACUCAGGUCUUAGCUAAUACCAUCU
ensembl:lncRNA